UAAACAUUCAUAUUACUGAUAAAAUCUUGCAAAUAGGUGUAGUACAUCAACUGAUAACUUUCCAACUAUUAACAAAAUGUGAAGAGGAAGAUUCAUAACACCAAAAGUCUUGUAGUGUGAAUCUGCACAAAGCCACCAAACAAGGAGUUGGUGAAUGUGGUUCAUAUCCUAAUCCACAUCCAAUCUGUCAUUCUUGUAGGAUGCUAGUGUUAAACCUGUGGAUCUGCAUAAAGCCAACAAACAAAUUCAUCCAUCAUCAGCAAAACCCUUUCCAUGUCUAAUCUAAACAUCCAUCAAUGAAUCUACCAAUAGCUACCAAUAAUUUUAUCAUCUGUGUAAGCUGUGUUAAGUAAUACCUCCUCUGACAUACAUGGCUCUUGUAAAAUCUGUGUUGCUACAUUUUCAAGUUCCAACGGUCUUAUGGAAGGCAAAACUUUUACAUGAGAUGGAGCAAGCAAUUUAAAAAU
rnacentral:lncRNA from 1 species